rnacentral:piRNA from 1 species
UGAUAUUAAUCUAAGCUGUACUCCUAG